rnacentral:tRNA from 1 species
GCCUGGGUGGCUCAGUUGGUUGGGCAUCUGACUUCGGCUCAGGUCAUGAUCUCGCUGUUUGUGGGUUUGAGCCCCGCGUUGGGCU